CUUUUUCCUUAACUCAUCAAACUUCACUUUAAUAAGUUAACUUACUCCUCGAAUUAAUUUGAAUUAUCCAACAGAAUCUGUUGCAAAAUAAGCACUUUGUAUGCACACUUCUUCACCAUCUACCUAGUUUGGAAUUAUCUGAUUUUAUUAAAGUUGGUGUUCAAAAGAAAUGAAGGGUAGAUUUACAAGAGUGAGAAUGUGAAUAAAGUAAGAAAUAAUCAUAAAAAGUAGAGAUAUUAACGGAAUUGAACACUUUUAAAUUGUGUGAAGGGGAAAACAAUUCAUCUUUAUGAAUUAUAUGAAAUAUGUUAUUGACAAUAAGGUUAUCCACACAUCAAGGAUUUCUCAACUAUAUUUUUUAUUAUUUAUAUUUUAUACGAUUAUGAAGUAAAUAUUAUUAUUUUCUCAUUUAAUAUAUUUUUAUAUUACUUUUUAGAAAAAUAAUAGAUUGAUAUCCCAAAAUAUUUUACAACAAAAUACCCAAUCAAUCAAGAAUGAAUUGGUACAACAAUAUAUACAACUGAAAUCUAAGCAAAAGGUGAAAAAAAACCCAAGUUUUCUAAUGAUCUCACUGGUUCUUUGUAUUCAAUUUCGAUAUAUUCAUAAGUUUUUUAGGACACAUCAUCUUAAUUUUUUUUAUAUAAAAUGAUAUAAGUAUUCAUACGAAAACCCAAUAUCUGAACAACCAGUUGUUGAAGUUUUCCGCUCUCUCUCUCUCUUUUCUAUCUCUAAAGCUUUCAGAGAGUGAGCGAUGUCGACUUUUGUUUGCCGGUAUCUUUUUCCGGCCUCGUUUCCCGUUGUUCGGGCUUUGGUCUCCGGCAAGCGAUGACUUCUUUAGCAUCGUCUUGGCUGGCUCUUGUCUCCGGGAAUCGGUGGCUCCGUUAGCACCGUAUUCGUCGGCUUUAAUCCGGAUUUGUUCAGAGAAAUCUGGUGUUAUUAGAUCAAUUGCAUGCUUAUGAAACUUCUAUCUGAUGAAGCGAGGUUCUUUGGCUAUCCUUGUUGGAUUUGAUCUCUCGGGUCUGACGACCCAGUUAUUGGGCGUUUGUUGCUUUGGAUCAUAAUCUCUCCGGUGAAACGGAGCUCCGAUGACGAUCUCUGACUCGGCGGUAGUAAGCGGUGGUUUUUCGUUACAAGGACAUGUGUUUUCUCUUCGCUACGCGAUCGUACGCGUGUUCUCGAGCCUCCACGUGGUUAAUUAGUCUUUUUUCUGUUUGGGCCUGGUUUGGGCUCCAGGUUGUAGAGUGUUUUAUCUUUUGGUUGGGCUUGUUGUAUGCCUCGAUCAUUUUUCUGGUACUGGGUUUUGAAAUAAUAAAAUGAUGUACAGAGAAAAAAAAAAA